CUGACAGCGAGUUCUCGGCCAACAGGAACCAUCCAUUAAAUGCUUUCGUAUCCUAAGAACCUGGGAUUAAGGGAUAGCUGAGAGCCUGGCACAUGCUAAGUGAUCAUUUAAAUGUUGAAUGAAUGUAUAAAUGAAAAAACGAAUGCCUAUGCACUUUCGAGAUGUGUUGCGAGCAAAACAUGUGCCUGCCACCAGAGGUGGUCACAUUCCCUUGGACAUGUGUUCCUUCACCCCUCACCCACUGGUUUAGGCACCCAGCCAACAGCCUGUGGUCCACUCUCUUAGGAGAGAGUUCAUUUUGCUUUUCUCCAAGGCAGCCAACAUCAACAGCAAUGUGGAGAUGAAAAACAGACGAGGACCAAUGAAAGCUGCUCCUUCUCCAGCUGAGGUUCCAACUGUUUUAAUUCUGCUAAUGAGAGCCAGCUAGGAGUAAUCAGGAAACAUCUAAAAUUAGCUGUUUUAAUUUGAGCAAGAGGGAAAGGGACGAUCUCAGAAGGGGGCACAGUCUCUAGUGGAGAAAGCGGGAUCCCAAGAAACUCCAAAAAACCAGAGCAACAUCUGGUGCUCCCGCACCCAGGAGAAUGCCCAGGAUGGACUCGAGAUCUCCAUGACUCAGCACUUUCCACAGAUUAGAACAAUUCACUCGUCAGUUUUCCCAGAAUCCAUUGUGUUUCGAGUUAGAGGCCAUGGCUACAACCUGGAAGAUAUUAGCUGGAGUUUGAUUAUGGGAGACCUUCUUCCAACCACUUUCUACUUCAUCAUUUUGCUUCUCCUUGGCCACCAGUAAACGUUGGGCAUAUGUGGGAGGAAUUAAGACAGCGUCCGUGGAUGGCAGGAGAACCCAGGACACUUGGCCUUUGUCUUGGUGCUGUGAUCACAGAACGACCGUCGUGGAGAUGCAGAGCUCUGGGGGUGACUGCCCAGUGCAGUGACCUCCUUCAUUCCCAAGGUCUAGGCUCACCGUCAGAGUCAUUGGUCCAGGGCUGUGACUUGACCAUCAUCUUUAAAGCUCUUCCAGUGCUGACUUGCUCUGGUGGACAAGACACAGCUGGACAAAGCUGGUGUGGCUUCAGGCGCCGGGCUCCAGAUACUCCACGGCGGAAGAAAGGCCCAGGGCCCAGUGGGUGCUGACCCGAGCUCUGUGGGCCCUUCCUGCCCACUAACAUUUGGUGGUGGCAAAAACCAGUUCAAACGAAUAUCAAGCAAAGCCAAGCAAGGCCAUGGGGGUGAGGUGGGAUGAGGGCAGGGAUUGAGGGCAUAAGAUGAUGAACAGCUAGGGGUAGGGUGGCUUAGGAAAGACUUGAGAGCUGCCUCUUCCUUCUGCCUUCAGCCACCAGUUUCAACAUCUUUUGGUCAAUUAUUUACCAGCCUGCUCUGGGCUAGGGUAAGAGCAGGGUCAGAGUGGAGAGCAUGACAGAUAAGGCCCCUGCCUUCAUGAAACUUCUGGUCUAGCAGAAGUCUGACAAGAAAAUGAGUCAUUUCAGGGGUGCUAUGGUAAGAUGGUGGGGAGGGUAUUCCAGGAACACAUGCUAACUGGGGUCUAGGUAAUCAGGGAAGGCUUUCUAGAGGUGGUGAUAUUGAAGCUGAGACUGAAGGAUCAAGAAGAGUUUGCUAGGCAAAGGGCUAUGGAAGGGGGAGUGUGGAGGAGAAGGCCGGGAGUGUUAAGAGCUAUAAAGGGAAAUGCGGGGACAAAGGCCCUGGUCAAUACACUGACUUUGAAAGAUUUUUUUCAUUUUUUAUUUUUUUGGCUCCCUUUUGCCUCCCUGCAUUUUCAGGUUUGCAGAUGGAUAUAGAUGUGUAUGCAAAUAUCUGAGUUCUUCUCCAUGGGGUUCCUGGGUCCCUUGCAGGCUGGUCUAUGUGGCAAGAUAGAGUUGGGAUAGACGAUGGCACCUCACUUCACAUACUAGAAUUUUCACUCUGACAGGGAGAUCCCCACUUACAUAUACUUCUUCAUGUUCAUCUCCUCAACAGUAUCGUCCCUACAUCUUUCCUUCUGUAAUUAAGUGAAUGAUUUGGAUGAAAACAUAGGGAUUUUAUACUGUCACAGAAGCAUGUGCUGGAAUCAGAUAGAUGAGUUCAGAUCCCUUUUGCACAAUAUAUGAAAUCUUGUAACCUUGGGAAAACGAGUUGGUCUCUAAUCCUCCAUUGCACUAUCUGUAAAAUGGGACGUAUAAGAGUGCCUACCCUAUAGGUUGUUGUGAAGAUUGAGGGGAAAUUUCCGUGCAAGGUGAUCAGAUUAGUGCUGACACAUGCUGAGUCCACGGUGUGUGCUGGCUAUUUUGGACAGAGUUAGAAGCUCUUAGAUGAGGCUGAGAACAACCAAAAACUCCUUCAUCAAGAAAAUCCAGAUCUUAGUAGGUUGGACCUAGAGGGCGAAUCAGGCAAGAUAAAAUUUAAUAGGAAUAAAUACAAGAUCCUGCAUUAGAUCUCUCUCUCA
rnacentral:lncRNA from 12 species